rnacentral:rRNA from 1 species
GCAGUUCUGCUAGCAGCCACCAGCAGGACAGCCACGCUCGCGCCUCUCCUUCCUUUACCUUUCUUCUCCUGUUGCCUUUCCCUCUCAAGCUCUCUCUCCCAGGUACGCCCGUGCAGGAGCCGCAAGGAGGAAGCCGCCAUCGCCAAGCUCUUGCCGUGCCCGCCUGGAUCUGCCAUCCCCGGCUCCUCCGCGCUCGAUUCCCGUCGCUGCGCCAAGUCCCUCAUCCCGCUCGUCUCUGACACCAGCGCCGUCCGCCUCGGCAACCUCGACGUCGAGCUCCAGUAGGAACUGCUUCGCGCGCCCCUGUCCCCGCGAGCGUCUGAGGCUGCGCCCUCCUCCUCGUCCAGCCCCUCCCCGUCGCCUGCUUCUCCUCCGGCAGCGCCGCCGUGCCCGCAUGCCUAUGGCGAAGCUCCGGGAGCUCCGACGCCCUGGUGACCCGUGCCCCGCGGGACCUCCUUCCUCCGCAUCCGGCCACGCCGGCGGCAAGCCCUGCCUCCGCCGCCUCGCCAAGUUUCGCCGCCUGAACCUCCCUGCAUCGCCAU